AUUGAACGCUGGCGGCAGGCCUAACACAUGCAAGUCGAACGAGUGGCGGACGGGUGAGUAAUGUCUGGGAAACUGCCUGAUGGAGGGGGAUAACUACUGGAAACGGUAGCUAAUACCGCAUACCAUCGGAUGUGCCCAGAUGGGAUUAGCUAGUAGGUGGGGUAACGGCUCACCUAGGCGACGAUCCCUAGCUGGUCUGAGAGGAUGACAGGCCACAAUGGAACUGAGCCACGGGCCAGACUCCUACGUGAGGCUGCAGUGGGGAAUAUUGGACAAGGGGCGCAAGCCUGAUGCAGCCAUGCUGCGUGUAUGAAGAAGGCCUGCGGUUUGUAAAGUACUUUCAGCGGUGAGGCGUUACCCGAGAAGAAGCACCGGCUAACUCCGUGCCAGCCGCCGCGGUAAUUC
rnacentral:rRNA from 1 species